rnacentral:rRNA from 1 species
AUUGAACGCUGGCGGCAGGCCUAACACAUGCAAGUCGAGCGAGCGUCGGUCGGGUGAGUAAUGUACGUGGUCUGCCCUCUAGCGGGGGCUGACUACUGGAAACGGUACCUAAUACCGCAUACUACCGUAUAACCUAUGUGGGAUUAGCUAGUAGUUGAGGUAAUGGCUGACCAAGGCGACGAUCCCUAGCUGGUCUGAGAGGAUGAUCAGUCACACUGGGACUGAGACACGGCCCAGACUCCUACGGAGGCAGCAGUGGGGAAUAUUGCACAAUGGGCGCAAGCCUGAUGCAGCCAUGCCGCGUGUAUGAAGAAGGCCCUAGGGUUGUAAAGUACUUUCAGUCGGGAGGCGUUACCAACAGAAGAAGCACCGGCUAACUCCGUGCCAGCAGCCGCGGUAAUUC